rnacentral:rRNA from 1 species
CAGCAGCCGCGGUAAUACGUAGGUCCCGAGCGUUGUCCGGAUUUAUUGGGCGUAAAGCGAGCGCAGGCGGUUAGUAAGUCUGAAGUUAAAGGCAUUGGCUCAACCAAUGUAUGCUUUGGAAACUGUUAGACUUGAGUGCAGAAGGGGAGAGUGGAAUUCCAUGUGUAGCGGUGAAAUGCGUAGAUAUAUGGAGGAACACCAGUGGCGAAGGCGACUCUCUGGUCUGUAACUGACGCUGAGGCGCGAAAGCGUGGGGAGCAAACAGGAUUAGAUACCCCAGUAGUCCCUGUCUCUUAUACAC